rnacentral:tRNA from 1 species
GGGGUUGUGGCACAGUGGUAGAGCACUUGCCUAGCAUGUAUGAGGCCAUGGGUUCGAGUCUCAGCACCA